rnacentral:rRNA from 1 species
GAUGGACGCUAGCGGCAGGCUUAAUACAUGCAAGUCGAGGGGCAGCAGGACUGUAGCAAUACAGUUGCUGGCGACCGGCAAACGGGUGCGGAACACGUACGCAACCUUCCUUUAAGUGAGGGAUAGCCCAGGGAAACUUGGAUUAAUACCUCGUAAUAUUUGAGAGUGGCAUCACUUUCUAAUUAUAGCUCCGGCGCUUAAAGAUGGGCGUGCGACUGAUUAGGUAGUUGGCGGGGUAACGGCCCACCAAGCCUGCGAUCAGUAACUGGUGUGAGAGCACGACCAGUCACACGGGCACUGAGACACGGGCCCGACUCCUACGGGAGGCAGCAGUAAGGAAUAUUGGUCAAUGGACGCAAGUCUGAACCAGCCAUGCCGCGUGGAGGAUGAAGGUCCUCUGGAUUGUAAACUUCUUUUAUCUGGGAAGAAACCCAUAUUUUCUAGUGUGGUUGACGGUACCAGAUGAAUAAGCACCGGCUAACUCCGUGCCAGCCGCCGCAGUAAUAC